UACGUAGGUGGCGAGCGUUGUCCGGAUUUAUUGGGCGUAAAGCGCACGCAGGCGGUCUGCUAAGUUUGGAGUGACAGUUGGUGGCUUAACUGCCAAAGUGCUUCGAAAACUGACAGACUUGAGGGCUUCAGAGGGACACGGAAUUCCGGGUGGAGUGGUGGAAAUGCGUUGAGAUCGGAAGGAACGCCCGUGGCGAAAGCGAGGAUCCUGGACGUUUUCGACGCUGAGACGCGAAAGCCAGGGGAGCGAACGGG
rnacentral:rRNA from 1 species